CACAGACACACACAAAUGCACAAACACACACACAGGAACAUACACACACAAAUUCAGAAACGCACAAACACAGACACAGACUUGCUUGCUUGUGGUUGUCCAUCGAAUCUGAUGAUGACAUCCACUUCUGUCUUUUAACGCUGUUUCAGCUCAGACAGUGCACUCCGCGGCUAAUUGAUGACCCCGGGAGUAUGUGCAGUAUGUCUCUAUGGCUCUGUGAGUGCAGAGAACAAACCUUUACCAGCCAUGACAUUCUCCAGAAUGCUUGUGACAUCCCCAGCAGUUUCCACCAUUCCGCUCCAUCUCCUGUGCGCUGAGUAUCCUUUGUGUUGACAGGAAUUACAUAACGCCGCACAGCUUCCGCAAACAACAGGGCCUGAAGGGCUUUAAUCCGUCAGAAUUGGCCUCCAAACGUGGCUACUGUGAUUACAAACUGCGUGUGUGUAAUGUGACUGCACGUACCACGAUUUAGUCUUUGCCCUGGCUAACAUAAAAUGGACUCUGUUGCUGGAUGGAUGGAGGAUGGACCGCCAAAAUACAGCUCCUCACAUGAAAGCCUGUGAUCUUUAUAACCAAGGAUGGGCACUUCUCUGCUGCCUCAAAUGGAUGUACUUCAUAUUGUAAUCCAGGUUUGCUAAAGAUAGUCAGUUACAGUAUGAGCCUAUCUGUGUCUUUAGUUGACUAAAAUCAACUUUGAGG